CAGAGAAGCAGUGGGGAGCCAUGGAAAGUUUCUGAACAGAGAAGCACUUAUUGGGAACUGUCAGAGCUAUGCUUCAGGAGAUGAAUCUGGCAACAACGUGGGUAGGAUGGACAGAUGAUGAUUGGUCAGUGAAGGAGGAGGGGAGUGAGGAGAGAGGGUUGUCAUGGAAGCCAAGUGAGAAGAGGAUUUAAUAGAGGAGGUGGAGGAGGUUGCUAACAGUGUCUGAUGCUGCAGAAAGCAGGUGGGGAUCAGAAGGGGUCUUUGGAAGCAGUGGCAAAACCACCAGUGACCUUUGAGAGAGGGAUGUUGGUGACUAGGCAGGGGCUGAACCCAGAUCAAAGUGGGAGGAGGAGCAACUGGAAGGUGAAAAAGCAGAGGCAGCAGGUAUCCUCUCUGCUUUUGAGAAGUUUGGUGGCGGACGGAAUGAGCAAGGUGGAUGAGAAGCUCGGAGAGGGUUAGCAAGACAGACCAAGAGGCUUAUUUUCUCCUUUUUCAUCGGAAAUCAAAAGCUACUGAGCAUCUUGUAGUCAGAAGGAAAAGAGCUAGUGGACAGUGAGGGAGUGGAGAAGCAAGUGUAAGAAGUGAAAUAGGGUGUCAUUUAUGGAGCAAGUCCUGGGUUGGGGGGCACUGAGGGUGGGAAGGGGUCAGCCUUGGAAAGGAGAAGACCCAUCUUUCUCUGAGCCUGGAGGGAAGGUGAAGAGAGUAGUGAAGGUGGAAGUUUUGGGGUGGAGUAGUGAAGGGGGAAGUUUAUAAUAAGGUCAUUGCAGUACAGUGGGAGCUGAAGUUAUCUGCAGAGAGAGGUUGGAAAGCGGCUUCAGACUUCACAAUUGAGAAGGCCAAAGGGAGUGUUAAGUGGGGUAUGACUACCAAGCUUCCAAAAUCUAUAGGGAGAAAGGAGCAAGCAUCAUCUGUGUGUCUUCAUAGGGAAAAGUCAGGACCAAUGGUCAUAUUUUUGGGGGAGGUAGAUUUCAGUUUAAUCUAGGCAAGACUGUUG
rnacentral:lncRNA from 1 species